AAUAGAUACCCUGGUAGUCCAUGCCGUAAACGUUGGGCACUAGGUGUGGGGCUCAUUCCACGAGUUCCGUGCCGCAGCAAACGCAUUAAGUGCCCCGCCUGGGGAGUACGGCCGCAAGGCUAAAACUCAAAGGAAUUGACGGGGGCCCGCACAAGCGGCGGAGCAUGCGGAUUAAUUCGAUGCAACGCGAAGAACCUUACCAAGGCUUGACAUGCACGGGAAGCCACCAGAGAUGGUGGUCUCUUUGGACACUCGUGCACAGGUGGUGCAUGGUUGUCGUCAGCUCGUGUCGUGAGAUGUUGGGUUAAGUCCCGCAACGAGCGCAACCCUCGUCCCAUGUUGCCAGCGGGUUAUGCCGGGGACUCAUGGGAGACUGCCGGGGUCAACUCGGAGGAAGGUGGGGAUGACGUCAAAUCAUCAUGCCCCUUAUGUCUUGGGCUUCACGCAUGCUACAAUGGCCGGUACAAGGGCUGCGAUACCGUAAGGUGGAGCGAAAUCCCAAAAAGCCGGUCUCAGUUCGGAUUGGGGUC
rnacentral:rRNA from 1 species